GAUCCUGGCUCAGGAUGAACGCUGGCGGCGUGCCUAAUACAUGCAAGUCGAACGCUUCACUUCGGUGAAGAGUGGCGAACGGGUGAGUAAUACAUAAGUAACCUGGCAUCUACAGGGGGAUAACUGAUGGAAACGUCAGCUAAGACCGCAUAGGUGUAGAGAUCGCAUGAACUCUAUAUGAAAAGUGCUACGGGACUGGUAGAUGAUGGACUUAUGCGCAUAU
rnacentral:rRNA from 1 species